rnacentral:misc_RNA from 1 species
GAUAGUUUACAGCAAAUCUUGCACUAAUUCAAGAGAGCUAAAAAUUUGGUGCUUCACAUUUGAUAAAACUCACCACAAUUUUAACAGUGUACGUAGGUCAACAAAAGAAUUAUAAAUAGGUUAAAAAAAAGACCCUCCUAAAGAAGGCUAGUUUGUUCAAAUGCACAACAUACCAUCACUGCAUUUUUCUUCUUUCGUACGAUGAAACCUUUUCGGGCUCUCUCUAUCCCAUUCCCACCAGGGCUUCGAAAAAACAGUGCCCUUUGAAUUCUGAAGAACAAAUAGGAAUAUGCUAAUCCUAUCUGAUCUCUCUAUUGAAUGUCAUUAGCACAUAUCACAGAGGAAGCAAAUAUGCUUGAAACUUGGAGAAAGACUGGGUGUUGUUGUUUCGGCUAUCCAUUCUCGUGCAAACCAAGAAUAUACAUCAACCUGUUAGAGGCUUUGCUUUUCUUAUGUGACCCAUGCUAUUGACGAGAUCCUUGCGUGUACAAACAGGAAACAUGUUGAUAUUCUUGAACUCUUUAAACCGCCAAAGGACAUAUGGAAAACUCAGUUGAUCACGGGAUGUAAAGCGAACCACCUCAUUGAACCAUAAGCACAUGAGCAGAUUAGUUGAUGGGGUGUGCUCUCUCACAAUAAUUGAAGCCUCAGAUAGAGCUUUUUUCCCAUUGAAUCUCUUAUCCUCGGGGAGUCCAUCUUGACGGUACUGAGCUAUCUGCACGGCCACUUCCUCUGGAGUGGCUUUAUUUUUCUUGACAACAGCCUUUGCCUCAUCAUACACACUACUCCGAGCUCCAUGUUCCGAGAUUGCUAGUACAGAGUUUGAACGCCAAAGCAGAGCCUCCAACACACCCAAUGGAUCCCUCCUAAGUUGGGACUUUGAGUCUACCCAAAUGGAAUAUCUAGAAUUUGGAAAGAGACGAUGGGCCAGCAUCUUUGGGAUUUUACCAUUCAACCUUUGGUCUGUGAAUGGUAGAUUCUUAACCAGGAUGAUGCGCCACUUUCCGAUGUAACGGUCAUCACCAACUUUAUGACCAUCUGCCUCUUGUGAUGCAAGUGUAAUUUCAUCCCAAAAAGCCACAAAGCAAACCUUCUUG